AGGUCGCCUCCUGAGGGUCUGCCUGCUCAGGUCACGGGUACUCUGGUAGAGAAGUGGAGUAUUAACAUCACAGAUACACACACACUAAUGGGAAGGAGCUCCCUCUGAAAACCGACAGCGGACAGCUACCAUGUCAAAGGACACCAAAGCCAUCAAUCACCAUUUCCAGUGUUGGGUGCCUGUGGGCAGCUCAUCUUGAGAGACAGAAAUGAGCAGCGACCCUGUGCAGUUUGACAGGCUUGACCCCCUGAAGCGGUCCUAUACUUCUCACAGGCUGGAACUGGUGUGGUGGUGGACUCUGAGAGUGUGUAAAUGGACGGGCCUCUGUUUUAUCGGCAAUGCUCUGAAGUUGGCCACUAGAGGGCGCUAACGAGCUAUGGACUGGAAUUCUAGAUGCCCAUUUUAGUUCUUCAGAAAGCACAGUCGUCUCUUCUGGAUUCAGAACUCCAUCUCCAGCAUCAUGAUCUACAGAGAACCGGACACAAGACAAAACAAGCGAACACCAUCUUCUGAAAAUCAGGUUGCUUCUUUUAAACUGCCUUAGGUCACGUCAGCUCUGUGUUCCUGAGCGUCAAGGCUGAGCGGCUACACUGCAGCUGAAACAGAGCCAGCCAGCAGUGAGAGAGCUGCCUCUGUCUGGGCACUAGCGUGCUCUCAGGAGUUGUUUAGACUUCCAGCCCUCCUCUUCUCCAGUUCACGAAACAGGUAAUAACUUCAUCCAGCAGGAAGUUGCAUACUUCCUUUAGAAUGUUAUCUUAUAAAAUCUUCUGGAAGAACAGUGGGGGAGACAUGCAAUAGCCACUUCUCUGUGCAGUAGCUAACCAUCCUCUGACUGUAUGCCAAUUGUCCCAAAAGAAACACAACAAUCAUAUUUCGAAAGAUUAAGUUUUGUAAUUUUAAAUGAUUGUGCAUUGUUUAUGGGUGCGCACAGGUGCCUUGCAGAAUCCAGAAGAGGACAGUGACUGUCACGGAGCUGGAGUUACUGGUGCCUGUGCAUGGCCACACAUGGGUGCUGGGAGCUGAACUCAGCUCCCUAGCCACGAAGACCACCCUUUCAGCCCUAAUAAUCACAUUUGUAAGAGGAGGGGAAGAAAGCCACUUUAAAUACUCUUGAAAGGUACUUCCAUGAAUGAAUAAAAGGAGCCAAGACAUAGAAGUGAGUUAUCUAAAUAGACUACAUCUGACUUUUCAAUUCAUACUCUUAUUAUAUUCUAUAAAAAAUAAAUAUAAAAGGUUUUCUGAGAACAGUUUAGAACAUGGCUGAGAACAAUUCAAGUAUAAUUUUAGUUUCUGCAGUUUCAAAUGUAAGUUAAGAAACAGCUGAGAAAAUACAAAGCAGUAUUAUCAUAGAGCCCUGAGCACUGCUCACUCCAGUGAGAUAAAGCAGUAUUAUUAUAGAGCUCUGAGCACUGCCCACUACAGUGAGAUGGCUCAGUAGGUAAAAUUUUUUACUGUGAAGCCUGACUACCUAAGUUUGUUUCCUAGAAUCCACAAGACAAGGGUAAAUAACUGACUCCCCUGUAGUGGUCUGAAUGAAAAUGGUCACCGUAGGCCCAUAGGGAGUGGCACUAUUACUAGGUAUGACCUUGCUGGAGUGGGUGUGGCUUUGCUAGAAGAAGAUUGUCACUGCAGGGCGGGCUUUUGAAGUCUCAGAUGCUCAAGCCAGGCCCACAGUGUCACUCUCUCUUCCUGCUGCCUGCUUAUGCAGAUGUAGAACUCUCAGCUACCUCUCUAGCACCUCCUGUGUUUGCCUGUGUGCUGCCAUGCUUGCUGCCAUGAUGAUAACAGAUUAAACCUCUGAACUGUCAGCUACCCCUGAUUAAAUGCUUUCCUUUAUAGAAGUUGCCAUGGUCAUAGUGUCUCUUUCAGCAAUAGAAGCCCUAACUAAGACAGAAGUUGAUACCUGGGACUGGGGUAUUGUUGUAAUUGGCCUGACCAUGCUUUUGUUUGGGUGAAUGUGGACUUUGGACUAGAAAAGCAGGUGAGUGCUUUAAGUGGGCCUUAAUGGGCUGCUCUAAUAGGAGCAUCAAAGACUGGUGCUGAGGGGGAUUUGAAUUAUGGGGCCUGGCUCAAGAGGUUUCAGAGGAUAAGAAUAUUAAUAUAUGGCCUAAAAAUUGUUCUUUCAAUAUUUUGCCCUUUGGCUGCUUUCUGCAUUUGUAUAAAAAAAUCUAUCUGUGUUGUGUGGUUAUCAGUGGCCAGUCUUAUGCAGAUCUGUAAUGAAAAGGAAUAAGGGGAUUAAGGGACGAUACAAAAUGUCCACUUUGAGGAGAAAGGGGCACCAGGAAGUGUAAACAGAUUAAAGACAAGCCUGAUACUAAGUGGAAUAGAGGGAUCGGUGACCUCAGAGCAAGGCCCCGCCCAGCUAAGCUGCCAACUUAGAGAGCCGUUGUGUGAAGCUGUGAAGGUGAGGCCUGGGUUGCCUUGGAGACCCUGAAAUAUUGGAGAUGCCAGAGCUGUGUGAUACCUGCUGAGGAGAGCUGCUAACAGGGAGUGGAACCAGCCCAAGAGAGUGAAGUGUGUUACAGUCAAUAACGUCAACAAAGCAGAGAGGAGUUGGAGUCUGGAGUGAUUUGACAUCAGACGUGGAGAUGCAGAGUUUGGAGUCUGCUCAGCUGGCUUUCCGUCUUGCUUUGAUCAAUGUUUUCCCACUCUCCUCCCUUUCCUCUCAUUUGCAAUGGUGAUUAUAUCCUGUGUCUCUGUAUGUAGGAAGUAUGUGAUCUGCCCUUUCAUUUUGAUUUUACAGGAGGUAACAGUUAAAGAGACUGCCAUAAGUCUCUAAAUAUAUUUUGACUCAGGAUUUUUAAAAAGUGUUGAGACCAAUUGACUUUGGGGACUGUUGAGGUGGACUGAAUGAUUUCUGCAUUACAAUCCUGCUACAAGUCUGUGGGGGCCAGGGAGUGGAAUGUGGUGGUUUGAAUAAAAAUGGCCCCCACAGGCCCAUGGGGAGCGGCUCUGUUAGGAGGUGUGGCCCUGUUGGAGGAAGUGAGUCACUGGGGGGCGGGCUUUGAGGUCACCCUCUCUUCCUGCUUCCUGUCUAUGCAGAUGUAGAACUUUCAGCUACUUCUCCAGUUACCUCUCUUGCUUCCAUGCAUUUUUCUGGUCAUGAUGAUAAUGGACUGAACCUCUGAACAUGUAAGCCAGCCCCGAUUAAAUGUUCUCCUUUG
ensembl:antisense Gm26555 predicted gene, 26555